rnacentral:rRNA from 1 species
UCCGCAAUGGGCGAAAGCCUGACGGAGCGACGCCGCGUGCGGGAUGAAGGCCUUCGGGUUGUAAACCGCUGUCAGUUGGGAGGAAAUCUAUGGGGGUUCUCCCCCAUAGUUGACCUAUCUUCAGAGGAAGGACGGGCUAAGUUCGUGCCAGCAGCCGCGGUAAGACGAACCGUCCAAACGUUAUUCGGAAUCACUGGGCUUAAAGGGUGCGUAGGCGGCAUGGCAAGUUGGGUGUGAAAUCCCUCGGCUCAACCGAGGAACUGCGCUCAAAACUGCCAAGCUAGAGGAAGAUAGAGGUGAGCGGAACUAAUGGUGGAGCGGUGAAAUGCGUUGAUAUCAUUAGGAACACCUGUGGCGAAAGCGGCUCACUGGGUCUUUUCUGACGCUGAGGCACGAAAGCUAGGGUAGCGAACGGGAUUAGAUACCCCGGUAGUCCUAGCUGUAAACGAUGAGCACUAGGUUGGAGGCUCCUCCAUAGGUUUCCGACCGAAGCGAAAGUGUUAAGUGCUCCGCCUGGGGAGUAUGGUCGCAAGGCUGAAACUCAAAGGAA